AUACGUAGGUGGCAAGCGUUAUCCGGAAUUAUUGGGCGUAAAGAGGGAGCAGGCGGCAGCAAGGGUCUGUGGUGAAAGCCUGAAGCUUAACUUCAGUAAGCCAUAGAAACCAGGCAGCUAGAGUGCAGGAGAGGAUCGUGGAAUUCCAUGUGUAGCGGUGAAAUGCGUAGAUAUAUGGAGGAACACCAGUGGCGAAGGCGACGAGCUGGCCUGCAACUGACGCUCAGUCCCGAAAACGUGGGGAGCAAAUAGGAUUAGAUACCCUAGUAGUCCACGCCGUAAACGAUGAGUACUAAGUGUUGGAUGUCAAAGUUCAGUGCUGCAGUUAACGCAAUAAGUACUCCGCCUGAGUAGUACGUUCGCAAGAAUGAAACUCAAAUGAAUUGGCGGGG
rnacentral:rRNA from 1 species